rnacentral:rRNA from 1 species
GCCCGCUCAGACAUUCAAAGGAAGUUGACGGGGAGCACUACAACGGGUGGAGCCUGCGGUUUAAUUGGAUUCAACGCCGGAAAUCUCACCGGGGGCGACAGCAAUAUGAAGGUCAGGCUGAAGACCUUACCCGAUUAGCUGAGAGGUGGUGCAUGGUCGUCGUCAGUUCGUACUGUGAAGCAUCCUGUUAAGUCAGGCAACGAGCGAGACCCACGUCCACAGUUGCCAGCAUACCCUCCGGGGUGAUGGGUACACUGUGGAGACCGCCGCUGCUAAAGCGGAGGAAGGAGUGGGCAACGGUAGGUCAGUAUGCCCCGAAUCUCCCGGGCUACACGCGGGCUACAAUGGUUGGUACAAUGGGCAUCUACCCCGAAAGGGGAAGGAAAUCUCUUAAAGCCAAUCGUAGUUCGGAUUGAGGGCUGCAACUCGCCCUCAUGAAGCUGGAAUCCGUAGUAAUCGCGUUUCAACAGAACGCGGUGAAUACGUCCCUGCUCCUU